ACGGGGCUGCAGCAGGCGCGAAAACUUCACACUGGGGGGAACCCCGAUGAGGGAAAUCCUAGUGCUAGGACAUUUGUUCUAGCUUUUCUCAAGCGUAGAUAACUUGAGGAAUAAGGGCUGGGUAAGACGGGUGCCAGCCGCCGCGGUAAUACCUGCAGCCCAAGUGGUGGUCGAUUUUAUUGAGUCUAAAACGUUCGUAGCCGGUUCAUUAAAUCCUUGGGUAAAUCGGAGAGCUUAACUUCCCGACUUCCGAGGAGACUGGUGAACUUGGGACCGGGAGAGGCAAGAGGUACUUCUGGGGUAGGGGUAAAAUCCUGUAAUCCUAGAAGGACCACCGGUGGCGAAGGCGUUCUUGCUGAGAACGGAUCCGACGGUGAGGGACGAAGCCCUGGGGUCGCAAACGGGAUUUAGACACCCCGGUAGUUCAGGGUGUAAAACGCUGCAGACUUUGGGUGUUGGGGACCCCUUCGGGGGGUUGUUCAGUGCCCGGAGAAGAAGUUGUUAAGUCUGCUAACUUGGGGAAGUACGUUCCGGCAAGGGAUGA
rnacentral:rRNA from 1 species